CAAUAGCGUAUAUUUAAGUUGCUGCAGUUAAAAAGCUCGUAGUUGGAUUUCGGUUAAGAGCGACCGGUCCGCCGUUUGGUGUGCACUGGUUGGUUUUAACUUCCUGUAGAGGACGUGCUCUGGGUUUAACGACCUGGACUCGGAGUCUACGUGGUUACUUUGAAAAAAUUAGAGUGUUCAAAGCGGGCUUACGCUUGAAUAUUUCAGCAUGGAAUAACACUAUAGGACUCCUGUCCUAUUUCGUUGGUCUCGGGACGGGAGUAAUGAUUAAGAGGAACAGUUGGGGGCAUUCGUAUUUCAUUGUCAGAGGUGAAAUUCUUGGAUUUAUGAAAGACGAACUUCUGCGAAAGCAUUUGCCAAGGAUGUUUNCAUUA
rnacentral:rRNA from 1 species